rnacentral:tRNA from 1 species
AGUAAUGUCAGCUAAUACUAAGCUAUCAGGCCCAUACCCUGCUCAUGACGGUGAAAAUCCCUCCUUUACUA